rnacentral:rRNA from 1 species
CCCCUUGAGAGUGGCGAACGGGUGAGUAAUGUAUCGGAACGUGCCCAGUCGUGGGGGAUAACGUAGUGAAAAUUACGCUAAUACCGCAUACGAUCUAUGGAUGAAAGCGGGGGAUCGCAAGACCUCGCGCGAUUGGAGCGGCCGAUAUCAGAUUAGGUAGUUGGUAGGGUAAAGGCCUACCAAGCCAACGAUCUGUAGCUGGUCUGAGAGGACGACCAGCCACACUGGAACUGAGACACGGUCCAGACUCCUACGGGAGGCAGCAGUGGGGAAUUUUGGACAAUGGGCGAAAGCCUGAUCCAGCCAUUCCGCGUGCAGGAUGAAGGCCCUCGGGUUGUAAACUGCUUUUGUACAGAACGAAAAGGUUUCUAUUAAUACUAGGAGCUCAUGACGGUACUGUAAGAAUAAGCACCGGCUAACUACGUGCCAGCAGCCGCGGUAAUACGUAGGGUGCAAGCGUUAAUCGGAAUUACUGGGCGUAAAGCGUGCGCAGGCGGUUAUAUAAGUC